rnacentral:tRNA from 1 species
ACCUGACUGGCUCAUCCGUAGAGCAUGUGACUCUUGAUCUCAAGGUUGUGAGUUUGAGACCCACGUUGGGUG